rnacentral:tRNA from 1 species
ACUUUUAUAAUUUAUUUGUAGAAUAUUGCAUUGAAGAUGCAAAGGAGGUUAUUUUAAUCUAAAAGUA